rnacentral:rRNA from 1 species
GUAGGGUCCGAGCGUUGUCCGGAGUUACUGGGCGUAAAGGGCGCGCAGGGCGGGUUAGUCGCGUCGGGAUGUGAAAGCCCCCGCUCAACGGGGGAAGGUCAUUCGAAACGGGCUGACUGGAGGCAGGGAGAGGUCGGUGGAAUUCCCGGUGUAGUGGUGAAAUGCGUAGAGAUCGGGAGGAACACCAGUGGCGAAGGCGGCCGACUGGACCUGACCUGACGCUGAGGCGCGAAGGCGUGGGGAGCGAACGGGAUUAGAGACCCCGGUAGUCCACGCAGUAAACGAUGUGCACUAGGUGUAGCGGGAGUUGACCCCGGCUGUGCCGGAGCAAACGCGGUAAGUGCACCGCCUGGGGAGUACGGCCGCAAGGCUA